rnacentral:rRNA from 1 species
AAAUUGAAGAGUUUGAUCAUGGCUCAGAUUGAACGCUGGCGGCAGGCCUAACACAUGCAAGUCGAACGGUAACAGGAAGCAGCUUGCUGCUUCGCUGACGAGUGGCGGACGGGUGAGUAAUGUCUGGGAAGCUGCCUGAUGGAGGGGGAUAACUACUGGAAACGGUGGCUAAUACCGCAUAACGUCGCAAGACCAAAGAGGGGGACCUUCGGGCCUCUUGCCAUCAGAUGUGCCCAGAUGGGAUUAGCUAGUUGGU